CCUCAGUUGAAAACUUAUGAUUGUCGUGUGAUUAUUAUUAUGUUAUGUGUGCUAUUUUCAGUGAGGCAUUGAAGAAGGCUUUCCCUCUGAAGUCAGAUCAGGACAUAGAGGAGCUGUUGGCGGUGGCUCAGACAGAGCUGAGGAGUAAUGGAGUGUGCAUUGCUUAUCAGACACUUUAUACAGAGGACACAGAUGGAAGACACAAAGAUUUCCUGAGUCUAGUUAAAAAACAAGCUACUUCUGAGAGACUGCAGUACAUCAGCGAGCUGAGAGUGCAGCUGGAAGGCAAAGGGGAAAUAGAUGCAGAGCACCUCAGGGCUGCCUUCAAGACUAUCGCAGGGUUCCCACGCUUCUUGAAAGUACUUGAAAGUACUUGAAUUUCAGACAUAUGGAUUCAAGGCCUGGAAAGUACUUGAAAACAAACAUAGGUCCUUGAAAGUGCUUGAAUUAAAUUUGAAAUACAUUUUCAAAUACAUCUAUUUCAAAAAUUGUCCUGUAUGUUCUGUCAAAGAACGAAACGGCACUAAUGAUUGGGGGUGGAGAUGGGGUAACGCGGAAAAAAACUUAGCGUGUGUGUUGAUGCGCAGCCUAGAGCCCUGAGCGGGACAGUUUUCUUAAGCCAGAUCCCGCUGAAUUUCUGACCAUUACCGCCUGCUCCCACAACGUGCGUGUGCCGCUCCAGCAAACAUUCUAAUAUUGUAUAUACAGGGAUUGAAGUUUUCCGUCGCUACGACGGAUUUCCGUCAAUUGGAAAACCUAUAUGUUCUGUCAAAGAACGAAACGGCACUAAUGAUUGGGGGUGGAGAUGGGGUAACGCGGAAAAAAACUUAGCGUGUGUGUUGAUGCGCAGCCUAGAGCCCUGAGCGGGACAGUUUUCUUAAGCCAGAUCCCGCUGAAUUUCUGACCAUUACCGCCUGCUCCCACAACGUGCGUGUGCCGCUCCAGCAAACAUUCUAAUAUUGUAUAUACAGGGAUUGAAGUUUUCCGUCGCUACGACGGAUUUCCGUCAAUUGGAAAAAAUGAGGGGAGAAGAAACGCGUGGUGCAUUGUUGUUGUACCAAAAUUCAUCCCCGCCAUGGCUGCAGCUUCUCACUGACAACAUAACGCCGCUCGCAUAAUUCACAGUCGGGUUAUUAGCAGAGAACACAGAGCAGGACUUGAAUUUCGGCGCGGGAUUGCGGGUAUUAAUAAUAAUUCUACUCAUUCCCGCAGGUUCCGCGCUUAUAACGCGAUGACAGAUGACGGAACGUAUCAUUUGCACGUGCUUUCGAGUCCUGAGAACUCUCAUUUUCUGUGCGCCCUCAGAUCGCGAUAAGGAGAGUGACAGCUUUUAAUAAUUAUUAAAGGAGUUUGCCAAUGUAUUGGUUUAAUACAACAGUUCAAUAAACAAGUACUGCCUGAUUUUGCUCUUUUCAUCAACGAAAAUAGUUCCAAAUAAAGUAACAGCUCAGCCGCUGCGCAUCUCUAAAAGCAAACACAGUGGUGUUUAAUUCAUUCAAUGAAAGUGCGUUUUUGAACGAAUCUAGUGAGUCAGUGAAUCAUGAUUACCCAUUCACAAAGACUUGUUUCAUUCCUGAAUGAAUCAGCUGUUCAAACGAAUCAAUUGAAUGAAUGAUUCAGUGAUAAAAAUCAGUGACUUGCCGCCACCUGCUGGCGGUUUCAGUUUCAUUUUUAGACAUAAUUUCAGUUAUUUAAAUCAUCUAAUAUUUCUGUAUUCCAAAUUUUAUAUUUAAAACAUUAAUCUCAACAUGAAAUUAUGAAUUUAAUUGCACUCAUGCCACCUCUGAGAAUCAUUAAACAUCUGAAAAUUUACCUACAAGCCACUUUUGUGUUCUUCUGUGCACCCUCUGUAGUAGAAAUUAAUUUUGUAUUAAUACUAAUUUCAUAUGAUUGCUAACUUAUUUAUCUUAUUCUACUUCUUAUUAUAUUUUAUUAAAUAGAACUUUUAAAAAGCUUAUAAACGUACAUUUUUGAAUUUGCCAUUACAAAGGUAAAAAAAAAACGCCCCGGUAAAUCACUUUAAGGAGUCAAAUAUCACCUCGUAUUAGGAUGGCUAAUUUUUGAUCAGAAUUUUUGAUUAUUGGUCAGAAGGUGCUCCUAAAUUAUUUAAAUUAGGAGGACUAGCGCUCCUAAAAAGAAAAGUAAGCAUAGAGCCAUGUGUAUCAGUAUAUUAGAUCCGUG
ensembl:lncRNA